GACGAACGCUGGCGGCGUGCUUAACACAUGCAAGUCGAACGGAAAGGCCCUGCUUUUGUGGGGUGCUCGAGUGGCGAACGGGUGAGUAACACGUGAGUAACCUGCCCUUGACUUUGGGAUAACUUCAGGAAACUGGGGCUAAUACCGGAUAGGAGCUCCUGCUGCAUGGUGGGGGUUGGAAAGUUUCGGCGGGUGGGGAUGGACUCGCGGCUUAUCAGCUUGUUGGUGGGGUAGUGGCUUACCAAGGCUUUGACGGGUAGCCGGCCUGAGAGGGUGACCGGCCACAAUGGGACUGAGAUACGGCCCAGACUCCUACGGGAGGCAGCAGUGGGGAAUAUUGCACAAUGGGCGGAAGCCUGAUGCAGCAGCGCCGCGUGCGGGAUGACGGCCUUCGGGUUGUAAACCGCUUUCGCCUGUGACGAAGCGUGAGUGACGGUAAUGGGUAAAGAAGCACCGGCUAACUACGUG
rnacentral:rRNA from 1 species